GUUGGAGCAGUUGGCUGUGAAGAAGGAGUCAGUGCUGUGAGGAUCUGCCCAUGAGAAAUCACCGAGAAGCUCCUCAUGAUCUGAACCUUGGGCAAGGCACAAACCUUUCACACCUGACAGGACCCUCCUUGUGCCCAGGGAACAAACUGCUGGACGGUCUCAUGCCCACCCUGAGACUGGGGUGCUCCAGAGCCACCCAGCAUUCAUUUGAUAAAGCUGUUCAAGAACAGACUGAAAAUGAAUGAUCAGUCAGAAGGGAAAAAACUCCUGACGAGAAAUGGGAAAUAAAAAGCCUAGAAAAAAUU